UCGUCAGCUCGUGUCGUGAGAUGUUGGUUAAGUCCCGCAACGAGCGCAACCCUUAUCAUUAGUUGCUAACAUUCAGUUGAGAACUCUAAUGAGACUGCCAGUGAUAAACUGGAGGAAGGUGAGGAUGACGUCAAAUCAUCAUGCCCCUUAUGACCUGGGCUACACACGUGCUACAAUGGCCGGUACAAAGAGUUGCGAAACUGUGAAGUUAAGCUAAUCUCAUAAAGCCGGUCUCAGUUCGGAUUGUAGUCUGCAACUCGACUACAUGAAGUCGGAAUCGCUAGUAAUCGCGAAUCAGAAUGUCGCGGUGAAUACGUUCUCGAGUCUU
rnacentral:rRNA from 1 species